UACGUAGGGUGCGAGCGUUAAUCGGAAUUACUGGGCGUAAAGCGUGCGUAGGCGGUUCGUUAAGUUCGUUGUGAAAGCCCCGGGCUCAGCCUGGGAAUGGCAAUGGAAACUGGCGGGCUGGAGUAUGGCAGAGGGGGGUGGAAUUCCGCGUGUAGCAGUGAAAUGCGUAGAGAUGCGGAGGAACACCGAUGGCGAAGGCAGCCCCCUGGGCCAAUACUGACGCUCAGGCACGAAAGCGUGGGGAGCAAACAGG
rnacentral:rRNA from 1 species